GGUCGUUUAGCUCAGCUGGGAGAACACCUCCCUUACAAGGAGGGGGUCACUGGUUCGAGCCCAGUAACGACCACCA
rnacentral:tRNA from 1 species